AGAGUUUGAUCCUGGCUCAGAUUGAACGCUGGCGGCAUGCCUUACACAUGCAAGUCGAACGGUAACAGGUCUUCGGAUGCUGACGAGUGGCGAACGGGUGAGUAAUACAUCGGAACGUGCCCGAUCGUGGGGGAUAACGGAGCGAAAGCUUUGCUAAUACCGCAUACGAUCUACGGAUGAAAGCAGGGGACCGCAAGGCCUUGCGCGGACGGAGCGGCCGAUGGCAGAUUAGGUAGUUGGUGGGAUAAAAGCUUACCAAGCCGACGAUCUGUAGCUGGUCUGAGAGGACGACCAGCCACACUGGGACUGAGACACGGCCCAGACUCCUACGGGAGGCAGCAGUGGGGAAUUUUGGACAAUGGGCGAAAGCCUGAUCCAGCCAUGCCGCGUGCAGGAUGAAGGCCUUCGGGUUGUAAACUGCUUUUGUACGGAACGAAAAGACUCCUUCUAAUAAAGGGGGUCCAUGACGGUACCGUAAGAAUAAGCACCGGCUAACUACGUGCCAGCAGCCGCGGUAAUA
rnacentral:rRNA from 1 species